CCAAACAGUAACAUCUGUCGGGGGAAAAGUGAGGUAAGUGGAUCGCCAUCUAGUGGUCAGUACCACGGCUCGUAAUGAGUUAAAUCACAUGACAAUGCGACAGAAAAACGAAAUAAGGAUUUUAAAUCACGGUAUAAUCCUUUUUUAACGGUUUGCAAGGAAAUGAUUCGGAAAUGGAAAUUAUGUUACUGUCAAUGAUCAACAACCAUUUGUUUAGCACUAUGAACUUGCAGUUUUUCAAGAUAACUGCAAAUGGUAGUCCCAAAAUCAGAAGAAUUUUGUCUGUCAUCUUUACUACGUGAACUUUAAAAGGCCUUGUUAUACCAAAGGGCGUCCAAUGGAGAAAUUGGGCUUCAUUAACGAUUCAAACUCAUUGAUUCUAACAGCCUGGUUGCAAACUCUUAGCCAUUGCGUUGUAAUGAAUGUAUUUAUAAUCCAGUCUACAACACUUACAAAAUGCCAAGAUGGCCAUCAGUUGGUUCUCCAGUGUCGUCUAUCCCUUUAUCUUGUCUGCUUUUCCGCCUCACGAUUCCAUGCCGCUUAACACUAAACGCUCUAAAAAUAGAAUUGACGAGUUCUCUUAAAAAAUUUAUCCAUAUUUUAUGUGCGACUUUCAUUUUUGGUUGUAUAUUAAGACAAAAGAUGGCGCUGAUGGACGUAUGUUUUUUUAUGACAAGUGAAUCAGCAGUGAACUGUGAAACGGGUGUCUGAGUGUUUGUUUUAUGUGUUACAUUCCGAAGAAAAGUAUAAUAAAA